GUGCGAUCGAACCGGACUGACCUCCGUUCGGGUGUGACGACCGGUCACGGAGCGGCGGACUGGUGAGUCACACGUAGAUAACCUGCCCUAUUGAGAGGGACAACCUCCUGAAAAGGUGGCUAAUACCCGAUGUGGUGCGGGGUCGACGGAUCCCGUUCCAAAGGCGGUUCUGCCGUCGCAAGAGGAGGGGGCUGCGCCCUAUUAGCUUGUUGGUGGGGUAACGGCCUACCAAGGCGAUGAUGGGUAGCUGAUCUGAGAGGAUGAUCAGCCACAUUGGGACUGAGAUACGGCCCAGACUCCUACGGGAGGCAGCAGUGGGGAAUCUUGGCCAAUGGACGAAAGUCUGAGCCAGCGACACCGCGUGGGGGAUGAAGGCUUUCGGGUCGUAAACCCCUUUUCUGGGGAAAGAAUAAGGUCGGGAGGAAAUGCCCGUCCGAUGACGGUACUCCAGGAAUAAGCAUCGGCUAACUCCGUG
rnacentral:rRNA from 1 species